CUGCAGAAGCUCUCUCUUUGCAUGCUGUCAUCCAUGUAAGGUGUGACUUGUUCCUCCUUGCCUUCCAUCGUGAUUGUGAGGCCUCCCAUCCAUGUGGAACUAUGAAGAGCUAUAAGAAUGGAAUAGAGACUAGGAGAGGAACAUCCAAAGGAGAGAAAAUGACUUCAGUGGGAGAGAACAAGAGCUACAAUCAAAAAGAGGAGAGACAAGCAGCACUGAGGAAGACAGAAGGGUAAGAAGAGACGGUGUCAGAAGUGGGAUCCAAAGAAAAGCUUCCAGUGACCCCCAGGAACACUGAGUAACCAAGCAAGAUAUAAUGCCUUGAAGUGCCUUGGAGGUAAAACUCCCAUUUUGUUAUCACGAAGAUAACUGCCAUGUGCUAAGGAUGGUGGAGCAGGAAGAAGGAAAGGACACAGGCCUAAUGUCCUCACUGAGCUGUUGAACUAGCCCUGAACUGUCCAACCCCAUGAUGCUUGUCUGUGAGAAAAAAUAUAUGCUUCACUGUUUGGUUAUCUGUGGCUUUCAACCAAAUACAAGCUAGCUGCCAGGGGAGCAGGUGACUUUAAAGGUGCUUUUCUAGGUUUCCGGGAUAAUAUUGAUGCUAUAGAGACACUGGAGUAACCUACAGUGGUCUUUUGAUUAAGAUCGUCAUGGAAGCCAAUCUGGGAAAGGUCUGGGAAAUGACCUAUGGACUGAGACUGGAAACGUCAGCCAUGUAAAGAUCCAAAGGAGGAGCAUCCAGACAGGAGGACAGAAAGGGCAGAGAUGCUAAAGUGAGGGAGUAAGCCUACAUGUGGAAGGUCAGACAAAACCAGUGUCAGUGGAACACUGUAAUCAAGGCGACAAGCGAUAGUAACAGUGAUGUUCUGGUAAAUAAAUAACACUAGCUACUGACUUAUUACUAGUUUUUCGAGGUGCCUAAAAAUUUUACCAAAUAACGUUCAUUUUAAAAAUCUAAUACAACAACAGCACAUGUGUACCAACAACAUAAAAUAAAUGGUAAAUAAUGCUUUGUACUUCUAUCACUGUGAUAUGAAAGGAAACUGUCAAUUUAGAAGUUACUAAUGAGACAUGACAAUCGAUGUGUCCUACUCAUCUGACCCUCAUCUCUGCUUUAAUCUGCCAACAACUUGCCGUGUUCCUCAAAUGCAGACUAACUGGCAAACCCAAAGAAGAACUGGUUCAAGUUAAAUGUGUUCAAAUUUUAAAAAUUUACUCAGUAUGCUAUUGAAAAUACCCAACUUUAUAUUUGUUAUCAAAAACUAAAUGAUCAUGGGAUUUGGGACAACACUGAAGUGUAUCACAAAAAAAUCUGACAAUACUAGAGUCAUGAAUUUAUAUAAUGACAAAAUCCUGGCAUUGGCUGCUCAAAGUGUUUGUCAGACCUACUGCAACGAAGGGAACAAUAUAUGAUACAAAACGAAAAGCUAUAGUUCUUAAGAGAUUCUCUGGAGCUAAAACUGAAGUUUGAUUUGCCUACCACUACCCGAGACAUCAUGAAAUCAAAAGUUUUACCUUCCUCUCUGUUUCAGCUUUCAUUUUUUUCUCAUUAUAUUUGAUGUCUUUCCCUUUUUCUGUAUUUUUACCUCACUUUUGUAUUUAAUCUUGUACAUAUGUUUUUAUACCCUUACAGACAACUAUAGCCUUGUUCCUAAUCCCAGUGAAAUUAGCUUAUUUUAUUUUUUCUUAUUUCCAAAAAUGUAAUCUCUUUUUACACAUCUGAAGGAAGUUGAACAAUCUAUUGCCUGCCCUUGUUAGGCUAAAUACUAGAACACCUGUUUCCUAUCAAUUUUGGUGUCCAGCGUAGAAUCCUGACAAUUGCAGACACCUAAAAAUUGUUUGUUGGGGCAGGAUGCAUAAUUCUGUAAUCCCAGCACUUUGAGAGGCUGAGGUGGGUGGAUCACUUGAGCCCAGGAGUUUGAGACCAGCCUGGCUAACAUGACAAAACCCCAUCUCUACUAAAAAUAGAAAAAUUAGCUGGCGUGGUGGUGGGCGCUUGUAAUCCCAGCUACUCGGGAGACUGACGAGGAAGAAUCACCUGAACCUGGGAGGCGGAGGUUGCAGUGAGUGAAGAUCGUGCCACUACAUUCCAGCCUGGGCAACAGAGUAAGACUUUUCUUGAAUAUAAUUGAUUGCGUUAAAUAAAAUAUUAAAUAUUGAUUUAUUAUUUGCAAAAUCAAAAUAUUGCAAAUAUUUUCUCUGAUUCUGUAAGUUCUUUACUGUGUUGAUAGUUUCUUUUGCUGUGCUGAAGUUUUUUAAGUUAAUUAGGUCCCAUUUGUUAGGUUUUGGUUUUGUUGCAAUUGCUUUUGAUAUCUUUAUUAUGAAGUCUUUGCUGAACCUAUGUCUAGAAUGUUAUUUCCUAGAUUAUCUUUCAGGGUUUCUAAAAUUUUAGGUUUUAUAUCUAAGUAUUUAGUCUAUCUUGAGUUGACUUUUGUAUGUGGUAGUAAGGAAGGGGUUCAGUUGCAAUCUUCUGUAUAUGGCUAGCCAGUUAUAACAGCACCAUUUAUUGAAUACAAAGCCCUUUCUCCAUUGCUUGUUUUUGUCAACUUUGUUGAAGAUCAGAUGGUUGUUGGCGUGCAACAUUAUUUCUGGGCUCUCUAUUCUGUUCUGUUGGUCUCUGUGUCUGUUUUCGUACCACUAUCAUGCUGUUUUGGUUUCUAUAGCCUUAUAGUAUAGUUCGAAGUUAGGAACUGUGAUGCCUCCAGCUCUGUGGCUUUUUGUUUUGUUUUGUUUUGCUUAGUAUUGCCUUGGCUAUUUGGGCUCUUUUGUGGUUCCAUGUGAAUUUUAAAAUAGUUUUUUUUUUUUUCUAAUUCUGUGAAGAAUUGUAGUUUGAUAGGAAUAUAAUUGAAUCUGUAAAUGGCUUUGGGCAGUAUGUCCAUUUUAAUAAUAUUGAUUCUUCCUAUCCAUGAGUGGAGAAUGUUUUUCCAUUUGUUGUGUCAUCUCUGAUUUCUUUGAGAAGUGUUUUGUAAUUCUGAUUGUAAAGAUCUUUUUGCCUCCCUAGUUAGCUGUAUUCCUAGGUAUUUUAUUCUUUUUGUGGCAGUUGUGAAUGAGAUUACAUUCUUGAUGUGGCUCUCAGCUUGAAUGUUGUUGGUGUAUGGAAAUGCCACUGAUUUUUGUGCAUUGAUUUUGUAUCCUGAAAUUUUGCUGAAGUUGUUUAUCAGAUCAAAGAGCUUUUGCACACCGUCUAUGGGGUUUUCUAGGUAUAGAACUAUAUAGUCUGUAAACAGGGAUAGUUUGACUUCCUCUCUUCCUAAUUUGGAUGCCUUUUCUUUCUUUCUCUUUCCUCAUUGCUCUGGCUAAUCCAGUACUAUGUUGAGUAGGAGUGGUGAUAAGGCAUCCUUGUCUUUUUCCCAUUUUCAAGAGGAAUGCUUCCAGCUUUUGCCCAUUCAGUAUGAUGUUGGCUGUGGGUUUUUCAUAGAUGGCUCUUAUUAUUUUGAAGUAUGUUUCCUCAAUGCCCAGUUUGUUGGAGGUUUUUAACAUGAUGUGAUGUUUAAUUUUAUCAAAAGCCUUGUCUACAUCUAUUGAGAUGAUCAUAUGGGUUUUUAGUUCUGUUUAUGUGGUGAAUCACAUUUAUUGAUUUGUGUACAUUUGAACCAACCUUGCAUCCCAAGGAUAAAGCUUUUUUGAUCGUGAUGGAUUAGCUUUUUGAUGUGAUGCUGGAGUUAGUUUGUUUACAUUUUGUUGAGGAUUUUUGCAUUUAUGUGCAUCAAGGGUAUUGCCUUGAAGUUUUCUUUUUUGUUGUUGUGUUUCUGCCAGGUUUUGGUAUCAGAAUGAUGCUGGCCUCAUAUAAUGAGUUAGGGAGGAGUCCCUCCUUUUCAAUUUUUUUGGAAUAGUUUCAGUAGGAAUGGUACAAGUUCUUAUUUAUAUAUCUGGGAAAAUUUGGUCAUGAAUCCAUCUGAUCUUGGGCUUUUUCUUGUUGGUAUGCUGUGUAUUACUGAUUCAAUUUCAGAUCUUCCUAUUGGUCUGUUCUGGGAUUCAAUUUCUUCCUGGCUCAAUCUUGGGAGGUUGUAUAUUUCCAGGAAUUUAUCAUUUCCUCUAGGUUUUCUUUUUUUUUUUUUUUUUUUUUUUUGAGAUUGAGUCUUGCUCUGUUGCCCAGGCUGGAAUGCAGUGGCGCAAUCUCCACUCAUUGCAUGCUCCGCCCCCAGGUUCAUGCCAUCCUCCUGCCUCAGCCUCCCGAGUAGCUGGGACUACAGGUGCCCGCCACCAUGCCUGGCUAAUUUUUUGUAUUUUUAGUAGAGAUGGGGUUUCACCAUGUUAGCCAGGAUGAUCUCCAUCUCCUGACCUCGUGAUCUGCCCGCCUCGGCCUCCCUCCUCUAGGUUUUCUAGUUUGUGUGCAUAGAGGUGUUCAUAGUACUCUCUGAGGGGUUUUUGUAUUCCUAUGGAGAUGGUGGUAACAUCCACUUUGUCAUUUCUAAUUGUGUUUAUUUGGAUCUUCUCUCUUUUUUUCUUUAUUGGUCUAGGUAGCACGCUUUCUAUCUUAUUCUUUCAAAAAACAAGCUCCCAAAUUUGUUGAUCUUUUGUCUGUUUUUUCAUGCCUGAAUUUACUUCAUUUCAGCUCUGAUUUUGGUUAUUUUUUGUCUUCUGCUAGCUUUGGGGUUGGUUUGCUCUGGUUUCUCUAGUUACUCUAGGUGUGAUGUUAGGCUGUUAAUUUGAGAUCUUUCUAACAUUUUGAUGUGGGCAUUUAGCCCUAUAAAAUUCCCUCUUAACACUGCUUUAGCUGUGUCAUAGAGAUUCUGGUAUGUUAUAUCUUUGUUCUCAUCAGCUUCAAAGAAUUUCUUGAUUUCUGCCUUAAUUUCAUUGUUUAUCCAAAAGUCAUUCAGGAGCAGGUUAAUUUCCAUGUAAUUGUAUGGUUUUGAACAAUUUUCAUAGUACUGAUUUCUGUUUUUAUUGUUCUGUAGUCUGAGAGUGUGGUUGAUAUGAUGUUGGUUUUUUAAUUUGCUGAGGAUUCUUUUAUGGCAGAUUAGGUAGUUGAUUUUAGAGUAUGUGUUACGUCUGGCAAGAUUGUUUGUUGAAUAGAAUUGAUUGUAUUAAAUCAAAAUUUCAUAUUCUAUUUAUGUAAGUAUUUGUAUUCACUAGUUAACAAUGAUACUAUGUCAAACUCUAUUUAACAACAUUUAGAAUUCUUACAAAUAUGAAUUCUAAGAAGAUGAGGAUUUAAGGAACUGGACUCUAUCUUUCUUUUUUUUUUUUUUUUUUUUUUUGAGACGGAGUCUCGCUCUGUCGCCCAGGCUGGAGUGCAGUGGCGCAAUCUCGGCUCACUGCAAGCUCCGCCUCCCGGGUUCACGCCAUUCUCCUGCCUCAGCCUCUCCGAGUAGCUGGGACUACAGGCCCCCGCCACUACGCCCAGCUAAUUUUUUUGUAUUUUUAGUAGAGACGGGGUUUUCACCGUGGUCUCGAUCUCCUGACCUCGUGAUCCGCCCGCCUCGGCCUCCCAAAGUGCUGGGAUUACAAGCGUGAGCCACCGCGCCCGGCCUAUCUUUCUAUAAUGAUUAAAUAUAAUUGUCUAAGUGAAGCAGAAAAGAACCGAAGGGUAUGACUUGAAAAUAGAUUGGAGUUCAUUUUAUUAGCACUUAUGAAAAUUAUUAGGGAAGUCAUUUUUUAAGCUCUCUGGGGAAGAUAUUUUAAAGUACGUUAUCCAAAUUACAAAAGUUUACAUGCAGACAAAUUUUUUUAGAAAAUGAAUAUGAUGGGCAUGUAGGCACUACCUAAUUAAGUACACUAGAAGUACAGCUGUAGGAAUAAAAUAAAACCACUAUGUAACAGAUUAGCAAUAUGAUAUAACUCAACAUUGCACUGCUGGCUUCCCAUCCUGUCCAUCCACACUAUUCCUUAUUUACAUUCCAUCUAUGACCUCAAUCGAUUUUAGAUGCAGCUAGGUGAAAAAAUAGAACACCUUUCACAGAGCUUCAAAUUUAAUUUAAUUCGAAGUCUAUGUAUUUUACCUUUUCUUCCCUAAUUUCUUAUCAGUCUAAUGAUCUCUCAAUAAGAGUUAAAUAAUUAUUGCUGGCAUGUUAAAAUGCAAGCCACAAAUAUAUACCAGUUGUAAUAUUUCCCUUAGUACAUAAAAAACAAACUACCUUUUAUAUUGGUAGUGUUCCAUCUGUGCGCUUUGUAAAAAUUGAGAGAUUUUUCCCUGUAAUUAUUAUCAGUAAAUCCCAGUUCCCUUUUAUAGCGUUCAGGGAAUUGGAAGAGAAAACUUAUCAGGAAAUUGCUGAAGAGACACCCCAUCGAUUUGUCUGGGUGUUUUUGGAGAGUUUGUUAUAAAGAAACUACAAAUUUAACUUUUCCUGUCCUCAAAUACAUCCUAUACUAGCAAAUGGAUGAAUAUUUUUAUCUAAACUGACACUUUGAUAUAUAAUUCUGCUGUAAAGCUCCUUAAUAAUGUUUCCUCUUUUACCUUAUCACUACUAUAUCAUAAUGUCAUCCGUUUUCUUCAUUACUUUGAGAGUUGUAUGAUGAGGUUACAGUGGUGCUAUCUACAUCUUUAAGGGGUAAUUAGAGGGCAAAGUAAAGCUUGAUGUUUGCAGAAGUUGUUAUGGUGAAUAGUACAUCUAUUUUGUUGAGAACAUUAUCACUACAGGGCAGUAUAAAAUAUUAUUUAUAGUUAAUUUUUGUAUGUAGUGAAAGGCAGGGGUCCAGCUUCAAUCUUCUGCAUGACUACCCAGUUAUACCCAGGACCAUUUAUUGAAGAGAGUGUCUUUCCCCCAUUGCUUGUUUUUGCCAGCCUUUUUGAAGAUCAGACGAUUGUAAGUGUGUGGCUUUAUUUCAGAGUUUUCUAUUCUGUUCCAUCGGUCUAUGUGUCUUUUUUUUUUUUUGUACCAGUACCAAAAUGUUUUGUUUAAUGUGGCUUUAUGGUAUAGUUCAAAGUCAGGUAGUGUGAUGCCUCCAGCUUUGUUCUUUUUGCUUAGGAUUGCUUUGUCUGUUUGGACUCUUUUUUGGUUCCAUUUGAAGUUUAGAAUAGUUUUUUUUCUAAUUCUGUGAAGAAUGCCAUUAGUAGUUUGAGAUGAAUAGAAAUGAAUGUGUAAAUUGCUUUGGAAACUAUGGCUAUUUUUAUGAUAUUGAUUCUUCCAAUCUACAGGUACGGGAUGUUUUUCCAUUUAUUAGUGUCAUCUCUGAUUUCUUUCAGUAGUGGUUUGUAGUUCUCCUUGUUGAGAUCUUUUGCUUCCUUGGUUAGCUGUAUUCCUAGGUAUUUCAUUUUCUUUGUGGCUGUAGUAAGUGGGAUUGUGUUUUUGAUUUCACUCUCAGUCUGGACAUUGUUGGUGUAUAGAAAGGCUACUGGUUUUUGUACAUUGACUUUGUAUCCUGAAACUUUACUUAAGUCAUUUAUGAGCUCUAGGAGACUUUUGGCAGAGUCUUUAGGAUUUUCUAGGUAUGGAAUCAUAUUGUCACUGAAGAUAUAUAGUUUGACUUCUUCUUUUGCUAUUUGGAUCCCUUUUAUUUCUUUCUUUUACCUGUUGCUCUGGCUAGGACUUCCAGUACUACGUUGAGUAGGAGCAGUGAGAGUGGGUGUUGUUAUCUUGUUCCAGUUCUCAAGAAUGGUUUGACCUCUUGCCCAUUCAGUAUGAUGUUGUUUGUGGGUUUGUCAUAAAUAGCUUUUAUUAUUUUGAGGUAUGUUUCUUCAAUGUCUAGUCAACAGACAUUGAAGAAACAUACCUCAAAAUAAUAAAAGCUAUUUAUGACAAACAGACUAGCCAUCAAAGAAACAUACUGCUUUAAUAUUUAAACAUUAGCAAAACAUUAAAACAUUAAAAACCAAGUGAAGUACUUUAUUUUAUAAUAAUAAAAUAAAUUAACAACUGAGAGAUAAAAAAUUAAAUGUAAGGGGCACAAGUACAAUUUUAUUACAUGGAUAUAUUGAAUAGUGGUGAUGCCUGGGGUUUUAGUGUAGCUAUUAUUGUCUGAUUAAAGUGUGUUGUACCCAUUAAGUAAUUUUUCAUCACCCACUCUCCUAUCCUUUCAAGUCUCCAAUGUCUAUUAUUCCACACUCUAUGUCCAUGGGUACACAUUAUUUUAACUCCCACUUAUAAGCGAGAAAAUGUGGUAUUGACUUUGUUUCUUAGUUGUUUCACUUAAUGGCCUCCAGUUCCAUUCAUGUUGCUGCAAAAGACAUGAUUUCAUUAUUUUUUAUGACUGAAUAGUAUUGCAUGGUGUAUAUAUGCCCCAUUAUCUUUACCCAAUUAUUCACUGAUGGACACUUAGGUUGAUCUUUGCUAUUGUGUGAUAAACAUACAAUUGCAGGUAUCCUUUUGUUAUAAAGAUUUUUUUUUUUUUUCCUUUUUGUAGAUAACCAGUAGUGGGAUUGCUGGAUCAAAUAGUAGUAGAGUUCUAUUUUUGGUUGUUUGAGGAAUCUCUAUACUGUUUUCCAUAGAAGCUGUAGUAAGUUACAGUCCCAUGAACAAUGUAUAAACCUUCUGUUUUCUCUGCAGCCUCAUCAACAUCUGUUAUAUUUAUUGACUUUUUAAUAGUAGCCAUUCUGACUGAUGUAUGAUACUGUGGCUUUAAUAUGUAUUUAUCUGAUGAUUAGUGAUUUUGAGCAUUUUGGGAUUUUAUAGAGUAAGUAUAAAUCCUAGUCCUAGACUUUAGAUAUUUUUCUAUGUUUAUAAGAAUCUUUUAAACUUUUUUCUAUGUGGGCAAGACCAUCACUACGCUUUUUUCUAAAAUUAAAAUGAAAACUUAUGAAAAUAACUCAAAAUAAUAUAACUAAAUAAUUUUAGCUUAAAUAAGAGUAUAUAGUUGUAAAAUUUAUUUAUUUUUAGUCAACAAAAAAAUUGCAUACACAUUAUAUACAACGUGAUGUUAUGAAACAUGCACAUACUAUGGAAUGGCCAAACUGUGCUGAUCCACAUAUGCAUCACCUCACAUGCUAGUCAUGUUUUCGUGGUGAGAACACUUAAAAUCUACUCUCCUAGUGAUUUUCAAGAACACUAUACAAUGUUACUAAUUAAAGUCAUCAUGUUUAAUGAUAAAUUUCUUGAACUUAUUUUUCCUAUCUGAAAUUUUGUAUCCUUUGACCAAAAUCUCCCUAGCCCCCACCUUCUAGUAACUACCAUGAUAGUCCCUGUUACUGUGAGAUGAAUUUUAUUAUACACACAAAUGAGAUCAUGCAGUAUUUGUUUUCCUUUGUAGCUUAUUUCCCUUAACAUCAUGCCUUUCAGAUCCAUCAUGUUGUUGCAGGUGACAGGAUUUCCUUAUUUUUCAAGGCUGAGUAAUACAUGAAAAUGUGGUAUACAUACACAAUUGAAUACAGGUUGAAUAUCCCUAAUCCAAAAUUCUUGUGACUAGAAGUGUUUCAGAUUUUGGAUAUUUUUGAUUUUGGAAUAUUUAUAUAUACGUAAUGAGAUGUCUUGGGGGUGGAACCCAAUUUUAAUCAUGAAUUUUUUUCUGCUUCAUAUAUACCUAUACAUGUAGCUGAAGGUAAUUUUAUGCAAUAUUUUUAAUAGUUUUGUGCAUGAAACAAAGCUUGUGUACAUGAGCUCAGGUGUGGAAAUUUUUAUUCACAUUUUUUUUUCAAAGAUUCAGCAAUUAGUGUUUUGAAACAUUUUGCUCCAUGAUCAUUUACUUAUUAUUACUUGCUUUUAUCUGUAUUUUUUCCUUACAGUUUGACUAGCUGAGUGUGUGUGUGUGUGUGUGUCUUUUAUUGAUCCUACAUUUCUUCAUAAUUCCAAUCUAGUGACAUCUUGCUUCUUUUCAUAUAGAGAUCAUUUCCUUCUACCAUUUAAUUUUGAUAUCUUCUUUAAAGUAAGUGUUAUCUAUAAUUUUAAAAUUUCCAAGAAUUUUUUUUUUUUUUUUUUUGAGACGGAGUGUGGCUCUGUCACCCAGGCUGGAGUGCAGUGGCAUGAUCUCAGCUCAGUGCAACCUCUGCCUCCCGCGUUCAAGCAAUUCUCCCAUCUCAGCCUCCCAAAGGAUAUGGUUUUAAGAAGAUUAUACUUUUGCAUUUAUAUUUUAAUUUUGUUAUAUAUUGGUCAGAGAAAAUUACCCGUGUUAUUUCUCAUUUUGGAUUUUAAUAGCAUUUUUGGAGUUACAUAUGGUAAAUCAUCCACAGAUGUUUAAAAAUAAUAGAUAAUACAGACACAAACUAUAUAUUAUAUAUGCUAAAGCUUGUUAAAUGAUUUAUUGAAGUCUCAAAUAGCCUUAUUUUAUCUCCUUGAGCUGGCCAUCUUUGAGAAACUGGUUGAAUUGCUAAUUUUUCCCACUAACAGUUUUUGCCUCAUACACAUGUAUUUCAAAGCUAUGGGGCUAGGUACAUAGUUGGCUCUAGGUUUAGGAUGCUAAUGGCAUCUUGGUAACAUUUCUCUAAGUUAAAUAUCACUCUUUCACAUUUAAUUUUAGCUUGAAUUCUAUUUUGACUGAUAUUUUAAUAUUAUAUUGCUGUAUUUUUGUGUUAACUUUUUCCUAGUAUUUCAUUUUCUAUUUCUUUAUUUUCAAACUUUCUUUUUAUGAUUGUCUCUUUUUCAUAGCAGCUUAUUAUUUUCUUGGUUGUCUCUGGUAUUUAUUUUCUAAAGCAUAUAAUCAAAUCAUUCCAUUAAUUUUAUAUUCUUGGGGAUAAUUUAUUUUAGAUAAGUUCUUUCAUAAAGAUGGAAGUCCUCAAAGAGCUAGAAUUUUUUUGUUUUUAUUUAAUAUUUGUACUUAAAGAUUUAGAUUAAAUUGUAUACCUCCAUAAUAAAAUUGGUAUUUUCACUCUCUUGUCAGUAGAUACAGUUUUUAAUAAUAAGAGCCUGUUUCUAGAACUAGGUGUGCAGGUGGCUAAAGAAUGGAGUGUUCUGCAAGGAAAAAUGAAGAGAUGGUUUGUCACUGGGUGUGACAGUACAGUCACUCCAGGCCUUUGAAAAGUGUCUGAGGAUAUUGCUAUGCCUCUUUUCCUAUCUCAGCUCUCACUUUACUAUUUGCAUGUGGUACUUCAGAGAAAAAGCUGGGGUGUUAACUAGCAACAAGUGCUGCUGUUUCUCAGCGUGGAGAAGUGAGCGAAGAUAGAGUGGAUUCACCUAGUGAUUCCAAUUCAGUUAAUAAAUGUUUGAUCCAGGACUCUAUUUCACCUGUUGUCUUUGAGUUUAUGGUUUUUCUUGCCUUUGUCGGGGGUUGGGGGGUUUGCCUUGCACUUGCUUUCUCAGGUUCAUGCUUUGGGGUUCCUUUUUCUAAGAACCACCCUUUGUGUCCGGCUCCUGUCUAAUCACUGUGGCAUCCUGACACAGUGAUUAGAAAGGAGCCGGACGCAAAGAAGGGAACAUUAGACACCAGGGCCUUCCUGAGGGUGCAGCGUGGGAGGAGGUGAGAUUGAAAAACUAUCUAUGGGGUACUAUGCUAAUUACCUGGGUGACAAAAUUAUCUGUAAACAAAACCCCAACGACACGCAAUGUAGCCAUGUAACAAACCUGCGUAUGCAUCCCUUAAAACUAAAAUGAAAAUCAGAAAAAAAAAAAAAAAAAAAAAGCAAAACCAAAAAGAAAGGAGCUAGGAACUAGAAAGGUGGGGAAGCUAAGUUUUCAGGACAGAUAAUUAGGAGGGCGUCUCAAAGCUCAGACUUCCUGGCUCCAAUCUCAAUUCAAUAUUUGCAAAUUGUGUCUUUUCAGACAAUUCAACCAACCUAAGUUUUAUUUUCAGUGAAACAAUGAUCAUAAUAGAUCAUACCUCAGAGUGCAUGCUCUGUGUGUGUGUGUGUGUGUGUGUGUGUGUGUGUGUGUGUUGAGGAUUAAAUAAGAGAAUACAUGAAAAUAGUUAGCAUUGUGCCUGGCACACAGUAAAUGCUUAAUAAAUUUUACUGUGGGUGAUUAUUGCCAUUAUUUUCACUCAUCAGUCUGAUUUUAUUGUGUGCUAUCUUUCAGAAAUUCUUCAAAAUGUUUUGUGUGCAGUAACACCCUUUUUAUCUCCAGUGCCUUUUAACAUUUAUUAUUUGCUUUAUAUCUUUUUGACAGCUAUGAUGUUUGGAAUGGGAGGCAAUAAGAACGUAUGUGCUUAAGCUACUAUCUUGAUUCAAAUCUUCCUUUCAUUGUCAUCCACUUACUUGGAAAAUGCAUUAUAACAUUAAGGAAAGAACAAUGGACUUGGAAGUCAACAGUCCUUGUUUCUAGUCCUAAAAUUGUAACUGAAAUUUUUGAAAUUUGUUUAAUUUGUCUCAGCUUCAGCAUCUUUAUCUAUAAAAUGAGUAUCUGGACUAGUUUAUCUUUUCUGGCUCUAAAGAAUAAAUGCUCUGCCUAAAAGGAUUGUUCAUUUAUCAAGAGUGCUAUUAAAUUAAUAGAACACAAAAAAGGCUAUGGAAAAAAAUUGAUAGAGGGCAAUAUGAGUUCUAGGGAGAAUGGAUUCAAUAUAGUAUUACACCAACCUGGCUUUUUAGAGGAGAGUGGAAAAUGAAGAAUGCUUAAAGAGUAGGAAGAAAUAAAGAGGAUCCCUGUUUCAAGGUAAACUAGUAAUAAAUAUAAGAAGGUAAAAGAAAAAGAAUUAUUUAAAAGUGUUCUAGACAUACAGCCAAAUUUAAAUUCUUCUAUGUGCCUGAAAUUAAUCAAUCUGUAUAGAAUAGACAAUUCAAAUUGAAGCUACUCCAAUGAUAAUCAAAUCAGUACUCAUAAAUUUAUAGAUAAGCAAACCAAAACCAAGUAAGAUAAAGUUAUUGCCCAUGAUCUAAAAACUGAGCAUUUCUAAGUACUUAGCCUGAGAUAUCAGUGAUGAAGUUAAAACCAGUACAAAGAUACUCUGAAUCCCAGGUCAGAUCUUUUCCCACUGUACUACUCAAUAUUUAAUUAAAAAUUUCCAGACUUGCUUUUUCCAGUUAGUCUUAAAUACAGAUUUGUUUAGUUAAGAUUUAAGAAAUAUAGACUUAGAUUUAGUCUUAAAAAUAUAUUGCUAUAUACACAAACGUGUAGCAACCGUAAGAAUGAUUCCAACGUUUUCUAAAUCAAUACUCACAUAUCUACUAUAUCGAUGUUAAAUGGUUAUGAAAUUCAUAUGUAUAAGUAAUAAGAGUUGUAAUAAAAUUUGACCCAGGGGAAAGAGUCAUUAAAAUGACCUAAAUAAAUGCUACAUUUUAAUAUAUAUAAUUAUAUGGGAAGUAUGUCUUAUCAGAGUUAAAUAUCUAUACACAUAUAUGAGGAUUUAUUAUCAAGUAAAAUAUAAUUACUGGAGAGAGAUGACUUAAGAUAUUGAGACUAAUAAGAGAGCUUACUGAUGCAUGAAGAGCCAUUUCUAUACUUUUCUGUACUUGAGACAAUAAUGAUAGAGAAUAAAGUUUACCUUUUUAAAGCUCAUACGCAAAAGGUGAUAUUUUUAAAAACAACAUUCUAAUAGAAUUAUCUCAGUGUAGUUCAAUUUGCUUUUUUCUCUAAAUACUAAUGAUGUUGACUAUCUUUUUAUAUGCUUAUUAGCCACCUGUAUAUCUUCUUUAGUGAAGUAUCUAUACAAAUCUUUCAUUCAUUUUUAUAAAAACAAAGGUUACUUUCUUUUAUUGUUGAGUUUUAGGAGUUAUAUAUUUUGAAUACAAAUCCUUCAUCAGACAUGUUUUGCAAAUAUUUUCUCCUCAUCUUCUCCUUGUCUUUUAAUUUUCUUAAUGUUAUCUUUUAAAGACUAAUACUUUUUAAUUUAUCAUCCUUUUCUAUUAUGAUACAUGCUUUUUAUAUUUAACCUAGGCAGUUUUGGACUAAUUCAAGGCCUCAAAGAUUUUCUCUUAUACUCUCUACUUUAAAAUAAUAUUGGUUUAGGUCUUACAUUUACAUUUUUGGCCCAUUUUGAGUUAAUUUUUGAUUAUAGUGUAAAGGAUUGAGUUUCAAUUUUUUGCAUUUGGUACCCAAUUUUUACAGUACCAUUACUGAAGAAAACUAGCUUUUCCCCAGUGAGUUCCCCUGGUACAGUUGUUCAAUAUCAAUUGAGCACAUAUUUGUGGGCCUGUUUCUGGACUGUAUUCUAUUUCAUUGAUCCUACAUAUCAAUACUUAUACCAAAAAUCACACUAUAUCUUAAUUACUGCAUCUCAAUAGUAAGUUUUGAAAUAAAGUAGUAGUGUGAACCUUCUCUGUCUUAGUCCAUUGAGGCUGCUAUUAAAAAUACCAUAGACUGGGUAAUUUGUAAGUCAUAAAAUUAUUUCUCCCAGUUCUGGAGGCUGGGAUGUCAAAGAUUAAGGUGCUGGGAGAUUCAGUGUCUGGCAAGCGUCCACUUUCUCACAGAUGGCAUCGUUUGCUGUGUCCUCGCGUGGCAGAAGGGGCAAUGAAGCUACUUGGGACCUUUUUAAUAAAGGCAUUAAUCCCAUUCAUGAGGGCCCCACCCUCAUAACUUAAUCGCAUCCCCAAAGGCCCCACCUCCUAAUAGUACGGACUUGGAAGUUAUUAUUUCAACAUACGAAUUUUGAGUGAACACAAAUAUUUUUACCAUAACACCUUCCAACUUUGUUCUUGCUUUUCAAUUGUUAUUCUAUGUCCUCUGCAUUUUUGUAAAUUUUACAUCUAAUGACAAUUUUUACCAAAAAACAAAACAAAAACAAAAAAAAACCUGUUGGCAUUUUAAUUGAGAUUGUCUUACAUCUGUGUAUUAGGUUACUGUGAAAGUAAUUGCAGUUUUUGCCAUUACUUUUAAUAAUGAUUUGGGAAAAAUUGACAUCUCUACAAUAUUCAGUUUUCCAAUCCCUUGAACAAUGGUAUAUUAUUUCAUUUGUUCAAGUCUUUAAUUUCUCUCAACAAUGUUUUGUACUUUUAGUAAACAAUUUUUGCACAUAUUGUGUUAAAUCUGACUCAGUACUUUCCUGUUUUGAUGGUAUUGUAAAUAUUACCUUUUAAAUUUAGUUUCCAAUUGUUUAUUGCUAUUAGACAGAAAUACAACUGAUAAUUUUAAGAUAACGUUAUAUUUUCUUCCAUUACUAAAGUCACCUAUUAAUUUUAGUAGCUUUUUUGGCAGAUCCCACAGGAUUUUCUCCAUAGACAAUCAUAUUGUUGGUGAAUAAAGACAGUUUACUCCUUCCAUUCAAAUGUAUAUUAUGUAUUUCUUUUGUUUACCUUAUUGUACAGAGUAGGACACCUCAUAAAAUGCUAAGUAGAAGUGAUGAGGGCAAACAUCUUUGCGUUGUUCUCAAUCUGAAGAGUAAAGAAUUCAGCCUUUUACCAUUAAGUAUGACAUCUACUAUAGGUUUCUUGCAGAAACACUUUAUUGAGAGAGCUUUCUUUUAUUUUUACUUUGCUAAGUAUUUUAAAAUCAUGAAUAGAUAAUGGAAUUAUUCAAAUGCUUUUUCUACACCUAUUGAGAUGACGAUAUGAUUUUUGUUAUGGUAAAUUAUUUGGAUUGAUUUUAAAAUAUGUUAAACCAUACUUACCUUCUAGGAAUAAACUCCACUUGAUCAGAAUACAUUAUCUUUUGUAUGUGUAUCCUUUUUGUGUAUCUUCUGCUGGAUUUGAGAUGUUAAGACUGUGUUAGCCACUUGUACAUUUAUAUCCGUGAGAAAUAUUUACCUUAGAUUUAUUUUCCCAUAUUAUGUUUGUCUGGUUUGGGUAUUUGUUAGGGUAAUUUUGUACAACUAAAAUGCGAAAAGUGAUCCCUUUCUAGUAUUUUCUGGAAAAGUUUGUGUUGAACUGAUAGUAUUUCUUUGUUAUAUGCUUGGCAGAAUUCACCAGUGAAACCAUCAAAGCAGGAAUUAUUCUCUGUGAAAAUAUUUUUAAGUACAAAUUAAUUUUUAAAAACAGAUUCUAUUUAUUCCUUUGUUGAGUUAAAACACCUGUCCAGAAGAUGGAGGAAAUAUUUUGGGGAAAGUUUGCCUUGCUCAGUGCUAUUCAGUACAUAUGUUCACUGACUCUAUAAUCAAAAUUCAGUCUUUACAUACAUGAAAAUGUGUCAGGAAAACUUCAAAUGUGAUUUUAAGGAGGUUCUAGAAGAUGGAAGUUUGUCUAUUUUUUUUUUUUUUUUUUUUCUUUUUGGUGGAGAGAAGAUGAGGUCUCACUAUGUUGCCUAGGCUGGACAUGAGCUCCUAGGCUAAAGAGAUCCUCCCACUUCAGGCUCCUGGCAGCUGGGAAUAUAGGUACAUGCCACUGGGUCUGGCUUGGAAAUGCAAGCUUGGAGGUUGGGUUGUAGACUCUAAGCAUAAGGGAUUAAUUUUAAAAUUUAUAAACAAGACAUUUAAUUAUACGGAAAGAGAUAUAGCACCUUAAUAUUUGAUCAAAUAACAUAGUAUUUCCUUGCCAAAUGAAAACAAAUUUAAUCUUAGACCACUAGAUUUCCUGAAAAUUAUUCUUGUACCUUUUCUAGUUGGGGAGUCAUUAGGAUUUAAUUGACUCAAAAUAAACAAGCAAAUGCAAUAAACUUGAAAUGGCUUGUUCAACAAGGUUUUGAAUUUAUAGUAAACAGCUUGGUUUUAUUCCAUUUGAGAGAAGAUUAAAUAAGCUUAGCUUUGUUUUAUCUUUUGAACAAGAUAAGUAAGAUCCCAGUACUUAAUUCGCAUUUUUUUAAUGCAAGACAAAUUACUCAUACAUAAACAAGUUUAUUUGGAAGGCACUAUUUUUCAAGUGGUAUUAACAUGAACUAUUCCUGUCAUAAUUUACUGAGUAUUUUUAUCUUAUCUUUAAUAAUACAUAACGUUGAAUACAUUAACUCAGGUGCAAGUACUUCAUCACAUUUUAUUAAUGCUUUAAACAUAUUUAUUUUUCUGUUAUAUUUAUUAACAGAUAAGAAAAAAUUUAAUAAGUCUCAGGAAUUCCUUCUCUUCUAUGUGCAUCUCAGUGUCAACACUUACUAAUGCAUAUAUACAAUGCAAAUGAAACAGGAAAUUAUUAUGCUGGUUUAUCAAGCACUGAUUCAGGGCAGCCUUGCUAUCUUUAUCUGACAUUUCCAUAAUGGAAUGCAAAUUCAAAUGCCAAAGAAGUUUGAAAGCAGUGACUGAGAAAAACACAUUGUUUACCUGAAAAUCAUUAGUUAUAUAAAAGGCAUUAUGUUCUUCUCAUGUAUGGGGGUUGGGGGGGAUAUAUAAUACCUAAUGUAAUGAUUACAUUCAAGAAAUAUUUGUAACUGAAUUAGAUAUAAAAUCAGUGUGGCUAUUCUUAUCAUUAAUCAUAGAUCUCCUUUUAAAAAUACACUCUAGGCCGGGCAUGGUGGCUCACGCCUGUAAUCCCAACACUUUUAGGAGGCUGAGGCAGGCGGAUCACCUGAGGUAGGGAGUUUGAGACCAGCCUGGCCAACAUGGUGAAACUCCGUCUCUACAAAAAAUACAAAAAUUAGCUAGGUGUGAUGGCUCACACCUUUAAUCCCAGCUACUCAGGAGGCUGAGGCAGGAGAAUCCCUUGAAUCCCAGAGGCAGAGGUUGCAGUGACCCGAGAUCGUGUCACUGCACUCCAGCCUGGGUGACAGACUGAGACUUGUCUCAAAAACAAAAAAAAAAAAAAAAGAAAGAAA